UAAAAGGCCCUUUUCAGGGCCACCUCCAUCGUCACACGAAGGGCUGU
rfam:Macaca mulatta chromosome 4, whole genome shotgun sequence.